GUGAAGAAGGACGUGGCUACCGGCGAAACGUUUCGGGGAGUUGGAAGUAAGCUUUGAUCCGAAAAUAUCCGAAUGAGGAAACUCAAUAACUUCUUACUGAAUCUAUAAGUAAAGAAAGAGCAAACCUAGGGAACUGAAACAUCUUAGUACCUAGAGGAAAAGAAAGUAAAAACGAUUCCCUGAGUAGUGGCGAACGAAACGGGAUGAGCCUAAACUUUUUUAAAUCGUAAGAUUUUGAAAAAGGGUUGUGGGAGGACAAAUAUGAAUUUUCGAAUUCAUAGUUGUAAGGAAAGUAAAGUUCAGAAAUUAGGUGAAAUAACUGGAAAGUUAUACCAAAGAAAGUGAUAGUCUUGUAACCAAAAAUUUUUUAACUCGAAAUGAAUCCCGAGUAGCAUGGGGCACGUGGAAUCCCGUGUGAAUCUGCGAGGACCACCUCGUAAGGCUAAAUAUUCCUGAAUGUCCGAUAGCGCAUAGUACCGCGAGGGAAAGGUGAAAAGAACCCCGGGAGGGGAGUGAAAUAGAACGUGAAAUUGCAAGCCCACAAACAGAAAGAGAACGACUUAGCGUUUAAUUUCGUGCCUGUUGAAGAAUGUUCCGGCGACUUAUAGUUAGUGGCAGGUUAAGAGAGAGAUCUCGGAGCCAGAGUGAAAGCGAGCUUGAAUAGAGCGUUCGUCACUAAUUAUAGACCCGAACCCGGUUGAUCUAACCAUGGCCAGGAUGAAACUUAGGUAAUACUAAGUGGAGGUCCGAACCGACUGAUGUUGAAAAAUCAGCGGAUGAGUUGUGGUUAGGGGUGAAAUGCCAAUCGAAACCGGAGCUAGCUGGUUCUCCCCGAAAUGUAUUUAGGUGCAGCGGUUAAUAUUAUAGCGUAGGGGUAAAGCACUGUUUCGGUGCGGGCUGGUAAUUCGGUACCAAAUCGAGGCAAACUCUGAAUACUACGUGCACAGUUAACCAGUAAGACUAUGGGGGAUAAGCUUCAUAGUCAAGAGGGAAACAGCCCAGAUCACCAGCUAAGGCCCCUAAAUAAUGACUAAGUGAUAAAGGAAGUGGAAAGGCUUAGACAACCAGGAGGUUUGCUUAGAAGCAGCAAUCCUUUAAAAAGUGCGUAAUAGCUUACUGGUCUAGCAAUUCUGCGCCGAAAACUUAUGGGACUAAGUCAUUUGCCGAAGCUGUGAGAUAGAAUCGACUUACGGUCAUUUCUAUCGGUAGGGGAGCGUUCUGUUGUAGGGUGAAGUAUUAGCGAAAGCGGGUAUGGACGAAACAGAAGUGAGAAUGUCGGAUUGAGUAGCGAAAACAUUGGUGAGAAUCCAAUGCUCCGAAAACCUAAGGUUUCCUCCGCAAGGCUCGUCCACGGAGGGUUAGUCAGGUCCUAAGAUGAGGCUGAGAAGCGUAGUCGAUGGAGAAUUGGUCAAUAUUCCAAUACUCGGCUCUAGCAGGUAUCGAGGGACGAAGAAGGCUAAACUAGCCAGAGAUUGGUUACUGGUUUAAGUACGUGAGGUGUUGAGGAUUAGAGAAAAUAAUCUGAGCUGAGCUACGAAUACAAGAUUUUAAAAAUCAAAGUAGUUGAUGUCAUACUUCCAAGAAAAGCUCGCAAUGCCUUAUGCUAGAAUCACCUGUACCAGAAACCGACACAGGUAGGUAGGUAGAGAAUACCAAGGAGCGCGGGAGAACCCUCCUUAAGGAACUCGGCAAAAUAGCUCUGUAACUUCGGAAGAAAGAGUGCCUUUUAGGCUGCAAUAUCAAGUUCCAAGCAACUGUUUAGCAAAAACACAGGUCUCCGCAAAGUGGUAACACGACGUAUGGGGGCUGACGCCUGCCCAGUGCUGGAAGGUUAAAGAAGUCGGUUAGCGCGAGCAAAGCUGGUAACUGAAGCCCCAGUGAACGGCGGCCGUAACUAUAACGGUCCUAAGGUAGCGAAAUUCCUUGUCAGGUAAGUUCUGACCCGCACGAAUGGCGUAAUGAUUUGGAAGCUGUCUCGAGGAGGGACUCGGUGAAAUAGAACUAGCUGUGAAGAUGCGGCUUACCUGCGCCUGGACAGUAAGACCCUAUGAAGCUUUACUGUAUCCUGAAAUUGGAUUUCGAUUUUAUUUGCGCAGAAUAGGUGGGAGACGGUGAGAUCUUUCUUUUGGGAAGGAUGGAGUCAUUAGUGAGAUACCACUCUGAUAAAAUUAAAAUUCUAACUUCAUACCGUAAGCCGGUUGAAAGACAGUUUCAGGUGGGCAGUUUGACUGGGGCGGUCGCCUCCCAAAAGGUAACGGAGGCGUACAAAGGUUUCCUCAGAUCGGUCAGAAAUCGAUCUUUGAGUGCAAAGGCAAAAGGGAGCUUAACUGUGAGACAAACAAGUCGAGCAGAGACGAAAGUCGGUCUUAGUGAUCUGACGAUGCUGUGUGGAAAGGUCGUCACUCAACGGAUAAAAGUUACUCUAGGGAUAACAGGCUGAUCUCCCCCAAGAGUUCCUAUCGACGGGGAGGUUUGGCACCUCAAUUGGGGGCAUAUAUGUAGUAAUACGAUAUGACAAUUUGGCUGUAUGCUGGAAACUCCGUUCAUUAAAUUGAUGUAGUAUCCUAAAGUACUCUUGAAUUUUUCAAAGUAAAAAUCUUUAGGUGCGGACAAUCAGCAGGGAAGUUUAGAAAGAUAUUUUUAUAACCCCUCAACGACUACACGCCGAACAACCAUUAGCGGUUGAUGAUAUAGUCUGAUCUUUUAGGCGACUAAAAGGAUUUAAAAAGGAGGGAUGAUAAGCUUUGCUUAAAUACUUUUUUAAAUCAUAAAUUCUUAUCCUCCAUGUAUAAUAAUGGAAUUAAUAAUUAAAAUAAUAAUUUUAUGAUAUUACUUCCUAGCUUUAAUCAAUUGCAAGUAGAUUUACUUGUUGGUACUUUAUUAGGAGAUGGAAAUCUUCAGAAUGUUGGUCAAAGUUGGAGAUACAGAGUAGUUCAAAAAACAGCACAUAUUGAUUAUGUAAAUUUCAAAUAUGGCAUUUUAAAAGAUUUUGUUAAUACUCCACCGAAAAUUCAACAGGUGAAAGAUAAAAAUGGAAAAGAAACUUCUCGAUGUGUAUUUAAUACACUCUCAAGUUCAAAUUUCGAUAUUUUUGCUAAUCUUUUUUAUAAAAAAAAUACAGAGAAUAAUGGGUGGACAAAACAAGUUCCAGAAAAUAUUUCAACGUAUUUAACUCCAACAGCGAUUGCAUUUUGGUACAUGGAUGAUGGAGCAUUAAAAUGGCAAGGGAAAUCAAAUGCUGUUAGGUUUUGUACCGAUUCUUUUUCACAUGAUGAAGUAAUUUUGCUACAAAACGCAUUGGCUAAGUUCAAUAUUGAAACUACUUUACAAAAGCAGCGUAAUACUGAACGUAUUUGUACAAAAGAGACUUCUUAUGAAGCUCUUGCAUCUGUCAUAACUCCCUAUUUAAUACCAUCAAUGUACUAUAAAUUUCCUGAUGGAAACAAAGGCAUUUUUCAUAGUGAACAGAUUGGUAGGGAACUUUAUGAUUUUGGUGACCCAAUUUUAAAUGUUGAAUCAGAUUCAACUAUUGAAGAUCCAGAUCUAAUGCCGAAUCUUUUAGAUUCGUUUUAUUAACAUUAUUGCGAUGUCGGCUCAUCGCAUCCUGGGGCGGAAGUACGUCCCAAGGGUUGGGCUGUUCGCCCAUUAAAGCGGUACGUGAGCUGGGUUCAGAACGUCGCGAGACAGUUCGGUCCAUAUCCGGCGUGGGCGUUAGAGUAUUGAGAGUGACCUUUCUCUAGUACGAGAGGACCGAGAAAGAUGUACCGCUGGUGUACCAGUUCUUGUGCCAACAGGAAAUGCUGGGUAGCUAAGUACCGUUAGGAUAACCGCUGAAAGCAUCU
rnacentral:rRNA from 1 species